rnacentral:rRNA from 1 species
UACGUAGGGUGCGAGCGUUAAUCGGAAUUACUGGGCGUAAAGCGUGCGCAGGCGGUUCGCUAAGACAGAUGUGAAAUCCCCGGGCUUAACCUGGGAACUGCAUUUGUGACUGGCGGGCUAGAGUAUGGCAGAGGGGGGGUAGAAUUCCACGUGUAGCAGUGAAAUGCGUAGAGAUGUGGAGGAACACCGAUGGCGAAGGCAGCCCCCUGGGUCAAGACUGACGCUCAUGCACGAAAGCGUGGGGAGCAAACAGG